UACGGGGGGGGCAAGCGUUGUUCGGAAUUACUGGGCGUAAAGGGCUCGUAGGCGGCCAACUAAGUCAGACGUGAAAUCCCUCGGCUUAACCGGGGAACUGCAUCUGAUACUGGAUGGCUUGAGUUCGGGAGAGGGAGGCGGAAUUCCAGGUGUAGCGGUGAAAUGCGUAGAUAUCUGGAGGAACACCGGUGGCGAAGGCGGCAUCCUGGACCGACACUGACGCUGAGGAGCGAAAGCCAGGGGAGCAAACGGG
rnacentral:rRNA from 1 species